CUGAAUCAUCUCCUGUAGCUCUUCCAUCAAAGAGCCUCCACACAGCAGAAGUUUGAGGUUCCUCCUCCACUUGGUCCUCUAAUGGUGGAGGUGUCAGACUGCUGCUCAUAUUCUCUGAAGUGUCUCAUCAACAGCUCUGUUGUCACUGAAGGCAAGCUUCUUUAAUCUAGGAUCCAGUAACAUGUUUUCUGCUAGGACAGUGUUAAACUCCAUACUCCAUUAAAUACGUUAGGAGUCGGCUCUUCAGAUUCACUACAAAGCAUCGGCUCUGAGAGUCGUAUCUUUUGUGCCUUAUACAUCUCUAGAGGACAGACUGUGGUCACAUGCUGACCAUGUUUGGCUCAGCAAACAGCUGUAAGGCAGCUUUCUCAACUAUGAACAUAAUCAAAAUAUGUUUUGAGAACGGCUCAAACAAGCAGCAGCUCAGUUCUCCCAUUAAGCUGCAGAGAUACACACGUGGACAAAAUUGUUGGUACCCCUCAGUUAAAGAAGGAAAAACCCACAAUUCUCACUGAAAUCACUUGAAACUCACAAAAGUAACAAUAAAUAAAAAUUUAUUGAAAAUUAAAUAAUCAAAAACAGCCAUUACUUUUGAAUUGUUGAUUAACAUAAUUAUUUAAAAAAACAAAGUAAUGAAACAGGCCUGGACAAAAAUGAUGGUACCUCUAUAAAAGAUUGAAAACUAUUUGACCAGAGUGACAUGAUUAACUCAGGUGUGUCAUUUAAUUGACAUCACAGGUGUUUCCAAAUUCAUAAUCAGUCAGUCUGCCUAUUUAAAGGGAGACAAGUAGUCACCCUGCUGUUUGGUGAAAAGGUGUGUACCACACUGAACAUGGACAACAGAAAGCGAAGGAGAGAAUUGU